ensembl:misc_RNA
GCGGCCGCAGCUCAGCCAAGCUGUUGUUUUAAAAGAGCAAUAAAAAUGAAUUAUGACUAAACGCCUUCUCACUUAAUGGUUUUAGACGGGGAUCCCCAGCCCCGGCAAAUACGUAAGAGGAUUUUUAUUUGUGCAUGUGUUCCUGCAAUUGAUCUCUUUGAUGACAUUCUCAUUCAUAGAAAGAGGUUGAUUUAUGACUUUCGGAAGGAUUGCGUUCAGC